UGUCGCAGCACUUCUAGGAGCCUCGUGGGAAGAGCCACAUCCCCCGGGAGCCGUGGUGACCUCCUAACCCCAGGAACUGUCAACUGGGCCUAGUGUGCAAACGGGCUCUUCACAGAUGACCAAGACACACGUCGUGAUCACGAGAUUCUCAUAACUCGCGCGCGCACAGAGAGCCGAAGAUCGGAAACAUCUCGUUGGAGAGGAGAGGAAGAGGGCGGAGUUUAACAGAGGCGUCAGGGGUCAGGCCACGCGCGACCGAAAAGCAGAGAAGCACGGCGCAUGCGAGGAGGCGGGAGGCCCGGCGUAGGCUCGCCCAGCGAGGUGAGGCCCACGCAUCACAGAGAGGGGCACACGCGGCAUGUGGGGAGGCCCCCAGCCUCCCGGGGACGGCGUGGCCCUACAACGCACACCCCGAGAGCAGUUUGGAACCAGUGCGAGAAAACGGUGACCAACACGAAAAGCUUUAUCUACCAAGGAAUUCAAAGUGCGUAACUGUGGGAGAACUGGUCUGACUCAAACCGCCCGCGACACAGACUGUCGAAGAAA